AGAGUUUGAUCCUGGCUCAGAACGAACGCUGGCGGCACGCCUAACACAUGCAAGUCGAACGAUAAGGUUCCUUCGGGAACUGGACAGUGGCGGACGGGUGAGUAACGCGUGGGAACCUGCCUAUCAGUACGGAACAACAGUUAGAAAUGACUGCUAAUACCGUAUACGCCCCUUGGGGGAAAGAUUCAUCGCUGAUAGAUGGGCCCGCGUUAGAUUAGCUAGAUGGUGAGGUAAUGGCUCACCAUGGCGACGAUCUAUAGCUGGUUUGAGAGGAUGAUCAGCCACACUGGGACUGAGACACGGCCCAGACUCCUACGGGAGGCAGCAGUGGGGAAUAUUGGACAAUGGGGGCAACCCUGAUCCAGCGAUGCCGCGUGUGUGAUGAAGGCCUUAGGGUUGUAAAACACUUUCAGAUGGGAUGAUAAUGACAGUACCAUCAGAAGAAGCUCCGCUAACU
rnacentral:rRNA from 1 species